AAUGGAUUUCCCUCAUUAAA
rnacentral:tRNA from 1 species